UACGAAGGGGGCUAGCGUUGCUCGGAAUCACUGGGCGUAAAGCGCACGUAGGCGGGUCUUUAAGUCAGGGGUGAAAUCCUGGAGCUCAACUCCAGAACUGCCUUUGAUACUGAGGAUCUCGAGUCCGGGAGAGGUGAGUGGAACUCCGAGUGUAGAGGUGAAAUUCGUAGAUAUUCGGAAGAACACCAGUGGCGAAGGCGGCUCACUGGCCCGGUACUGACGCUGAUGUGCGAAGCGUGGGAG
rnacentral:rRNA from 1 species